UACGGAGGGAGCUAGCGUUGUUCGGAAUUACUGGGCGUAAAGCGCACGUAGGCGGCUUUGUAAGUUAGAGGUGAAAGCCCGGGGCUCAACCCCGGAAUUGCCUUUAAGACUGCAUCGCUUGAACCCAGGAGAGGUGAGUGAAAUUCCGAGUGUAGAGGUGAAAUUCGUAGAUAUUCGGAAGAACACCAGUGGCGAAGGCGGCUCACUGGACUGGUAUUGACGCUGAGGUGCGAAAGCGUGGGGAGCAAACAGG
rnacentral:rRNA from 1 species